GCCUCCAGCACCCAGAGAAGGCGUGUGCAGGUGCUGCUAACUGGAGGCACUUGAGUACAGCUCAUUUUGUGGACCAUUUUACUAGCCUGGCUCGUGCUCCGCGCCGAUACUAUUACAGUGAUGCAAUUUAUGCUGCUGCUGCUGCUGUCGUUGUCAGCUCCCUUUGCCUUCCCCCCCUCCCCUCAGCUUCCUUCCUUGCGGUUUGCAGUUUGCCUUCGAAGCACACAGACACAAACCCCUCUGCUCUCACAUCAGCUCACCCCAGCGAUGGUCCAGGGCUGCAAUAGGUGGAAGUGAUUGACUCACUAUGAGACUGCUGUUUUUGCCUCUGACUUGGGAUGGAGACGGAGCUGGAGGAGCAGUGGCUCUGUGGCAGGCAGGCGCUUGGAGCUUGUCACUUACCUCUCACUGCAUCCAGCCGUGCCCCCCCGCCCCGGCCGUGGGGCUGCAGGUCCUGGAGAGUUAGCUGGCGGGGGACCCCAGAUCCACUCGGGUUUCUUCCAGGACCGACGUUCGGCUGCUGCUUCUUAGGCACAGACCCAACCCCUCCAUUCCAACCACUGGUAGUGGG